rnacentral:rRNA from 1 species
UUCCAGGAAAAGCCUCUAAGCAUCAGGUAACAUCAAAUCGUACCCCAAACCGACACAGGUGGUCAGGUAGAGAAUACCAAGGCGCUUGAGAGAACUCGGGUGAAGGAACUAGGCAAAAUGGUGCCGUAACUUCGGGAGAAGGCACGCUGAUAUGUAGGUGAAGUCCCUCGCGGAUGGAGCUGAAAUCAGUCGAAGAUACCAGCUGGCUGCAACUGUUUAUUAAAAACACAGCACUGUGCAAACACGAAAGUGGACGUAUACGGUGUGACGCCUGCCCGGUGCCGGAAGGUUAAUUGAUGGGGUCAGCGCAAGCGAAGCUCUUGAUCGAAGCCCCGGUAAACGGCGGCCGUAACUAUAACGGUCCUAAGGUAGCGAAAUUCCUUGUCGGGUAAGUUCCGACCUGCACGAAUGGCGUAAUGAUGGCCAGGCUGUCUCCACCCGAGACUCAGUGAAAUUGAACUCGCUGUGAAGAUGCAGUGUACCCGCGGCAAGACGGAAAGACCCCGUGAACCUUUACUAUAGCUUGACACUGAACAUUGAGCCUUGAUGUGUAGGAUAGGUGGGAGGCUUGGAAGUGUGGACGCCAGUCUGCAUGGAGCCGACCUUGAAAUACCACCCUUUAAUGUUUGAUGUUCUAACGUUGACCCGUGAUCCGGGUUGCGGACAGUGUCUGGUGGGUAGUUUGACUGGGGCGGUCUCCUCCUAAAGAGUAACGGAGGAGCACGAAGGUUGGCUAAUCCUGGUCGGACAUCAGGAGGUUAGUGCAAUGGCAUAAGCCAGCUUGACUGCGAGCGUGACGGCGCGAGCAGGUGCGAAAGCAGGUCAUAGUGAUCCGGUGGUUCUGAAUGGAAGGGCCAUCGCUCAACGGAUAAAAGGUACUCCGGGGAUAACAGGCUGAUACCGCCCAAGAGUUCAUAUCGACGGCGGUGUUUGGCACCUCGAUGUCGGCUCAUCACAUCCUGGGGCUGAAGUAGGUCCCAAGGGUAUGGCUGUUCGCCAUUUAAAGUGGUACGCGAGCUGGGUUUAGAACGUCGUGAGACAGUUCGGUCCCUAUCUGCCGUGGGCGCUGGAGAACUGAGGGGGGCUGCUCCUAGUACGAGAGGACCGGAGUGGACGCAUCACUGGUGUUCGGGUUGUCAUGCCAAUGGCACUGCCCGGUAGCUAAAUGCGGAAGAGAUAAGUGCUGAAAGCAUCUAAGCACGAAACUUGCCCCGAGAUGAGUUCUCCCUGACUCCUUGAGAGUCCUGAAGGAACGUUGAAGACGACGACGUUGAUAGGCCGGGUGUGUAAGCGCAGCGAUGCGUUGAGCUAACCGGUACUAAUGAACCGUGAGGCUUAACCUUACAACGCCGAAGGUGUUU